GACGAACGCUGGCGGCGUGCUUAACACAUGCAAGUCGAGCGAUGAAGUUCCUUCGGGAAUGGAUUAGCGGCGGACGGGUGAGUAACACUUGGGUAACCUGCCUCAUAGAGGGGAAUAGCCUUCCGAAAGGAAGAUUAAUACCGCAUAAGAUUGUAGUACCGCAUGGUACAGCAAUUAAAGGAGUAAUCCGCUAUGAGAUGGACCCGCGUCGCAUUAGCUAGUUGGUGAGGUAACGGCUCACCAAGGCGACGAUGCGUAGCCGACCUGAGAGGGUGAUCGGCCACAUUGGGACUGAGACACGGCCCAGACUCCUACGGGAGGCAGCAGUGGGGAAUAUUGCACAAUGGGGGAAACCCUGAUGCAGCAACGCCGCGUGAGUGAUGACGGUCUUCGGAUUGUAAAACUCUGUCUUCAGGGACGAUAAUGACGGUACCUGAGGAGGAAGCCACGGCUAACUACGUGCCAGCAGCCGCCGUAA
rnacentral:rRNA from 1 species